GACAGAGGGUGCAAACGUUGUUCGGAAUUACUGGGCGUAAAGCGUGUGUAGGCGGCUACAUAAGUCGGAUGUGAAAGCCCCGGGCUCAACCCGGGAAGUGCACUCGAUACUGCGUAGCUUGAGUCUCGGAGAGGUUGGUGGAAUUCUCGGUGUAGAGGUGAAAUUCGUAGAUAUCGAGAGGAACACCGGUGGCGAAGGCGAGUCUCUGGACGGCUCCUGACGCUGAGGCACGAAAGCGAGGGGAGCAAACAGG
rnacentral:rRNA from 1 species